rnacentral:lncRNA from 1 species
AUGAAGCAUAAAUCUAGUUAUUAAUUAAGAAAAGAAUGAUUAGAGAAUUGGAUCGAUAAUAGGAUAUGAAAGCUGAAUUUUGAUGAUUAUUGAUUCUAAAAUGAGUUGAUAUUUUAAAGAAUAUCUUAAGAAUUAGAUGUGUGAUAAUUUUAUGGUCUAAAUUCAUAAUUUAUAGCAAUUUCUGUUACUUAGCCGACUCAGACAGGGGUUAAGUCGACUAUGUCUCAAGAUAGCUAUGCCAGGCAGAAAGCUGAAGUUUCAAAAAAAAUUGGGGUGGCACGCAAGUUAGUCAACUAAGUUUCAGAUGAGUCGACUAAGUUUGAGUCGACUCAUCUUAGGUUAGUCGACUAAGCUGCGGAAAAGCUAAAGUGGCGGGAUUCUACAGAGUUGCUGAAAUUUAGAGAUUUAAAAGUACUUUCAUGAGGAUUAUUCAAUAGCUAUUUUUAUAUAAAUAAAAGGUUAGAAAACUAAGAUAUUGCUGGCUGAUUCAUGGGAUUGACACCUAACCAGAUAAGUCUUUAAAUUUUCUUUUCCUAAGGGGGCUGUUCAUCAUGUUUCUCUUGUUUUGGUUGUUCUAGUUCUUGAGUAAAAAUAGAAGC